UACGUAGGGGGCAAGCGUUUGUCCGGAAUCAUUGGGCGUAAAGCGCGUGUAGGCGGCCCGGUAAGUCCGCUGUGAAAGUCGGGGGCUCGACCCUCGAAUGCCGGUGGAUACUGUCGAGCUUGAGUACGGAAGAGGCGAGUGGAAUUCCUGGUGUAGCGGUGAAAUGCGCAGAUAUCAGGAGGAACACCAAUUGCGAAGGCAGCUCGCUGGGACGUUACUGACGCUGAGACGCGAAAGCGUGGGGAGCAAACAGG
rnacentral:rRNA from 1 species